rnacentral:rRNA from 1 species
CCUACGGGCGGCAGCAGUGAGGAAUAUUGGUCAAUGGGCGAGAGCCUGAACCAGCCAAGUCGCGUGAAGGAUGACGGCCCUAUGGGUUGUAAACUUCUUUUGUCAGGGAGCAAUUGGGUCCACGCGUGGGCUUAGCGAGAGUACCUGAAGAAAAAGCAUCGGCUAACUCCGGGCCAGCAGCCGCGGUAAUACGGAGGAUGCGAGCGUUAUCCGGAUUUAUUGGGGUUAAAGGGUGCGUAGGCGGAAUAUCAAGUCGGCGGUAAAAAUUCGGGGCUCAACCCCGUCGGGCCGUUGAAACUGUUGGUCUUGAGUGGGCGAGAAGUAUGCGGAAUGCGUGGUGUAGCGGUGAAAUGCAUAGAUAUCACGCAGAACUCCGAUUGCGAAGGCAGCAUACCGGCGCCCAACUGACGCUGAAGCACGAAAGCGUGGGUAUCGAACAGGAUUAGAUACCCGGGUAGUC